rnacentral:rRNA from 1 species
GAGACUCUGUGCGCGUGCAUAUCAAUAAGCGGAGGAAAAGAAACUAACAAGGAUUCCCCUAGUAACGGCGAGUGAAGCGGGAAGAGCUCAAAUUUGAAAUCUUCAAGGUUUUCCCUUGACGAAUUGUAGUUUAAAGAAGUGUUUUCUGUUGAAGUUUCGGUAAAAGUUCUUUGGAAUAGGACAUCAUAGAGGGUGAGAAUCCCGUAUUUGACCAGUUACUUUCCAGCUGUGUGAUACACCUUCAAAGAGUCGGAUUGUUUGGGAAUGCAGUCCAAAGAUGGGUGGUAAAUUUCAUCUAAAGCUAAAUAUUGGCGAGAGACCGAUAGCGAACAAGUACCGUGAGGGAAAGAUGAAAAGAACUUUGAAAAGAGAGUUAAACAGUACGUGAAAUUGUCAAAAGGGAAGCGUUUGACACCAGUGUUGUUUAGUUGAAAAUCAAUUCAAUAGUUUUUGAUUCUAAGUAGUAUUGACUUCAUCAGCUUGCUGCUUUCUUCUCAGAAAUUAUUGAAUGCACCUUUCAGUUAACAAGUCAACAUCAAUUUCUUUUGUUGUAAAAGGGUAAGAGGAAGGUGGCUUGCGCUUCGGCUCAAGUGUUUAUAGCCUUUUAUCUCUGCAAUCGGAGAGAUUGAGGUCUGCAGCGUAGAUCCUUCGGGGUUAGAUACAUUGGUGCUAAGCUAUAGCCUUGUAUAGACAACUUGUUGACUAUGCUCAGUCAUGUAGCUUACUCGCUGAUGCUAUUUUACCUACGCUUAGGAUGUUGACAGCAGUAUAGACUGU